AUUGAACGCUGGCGGCAUGCUUUACACAUGCAAGUCGAGCGGCAGCGCGGGGGCAACCCUGGCGGCGAGCGGCGAACGGGUGAGUAAUGCAUCGGAACGUAUCCUCGAGUGGGGGAUAACCCAGCGAAAGUUGGGCUAAUACCGCAUGAGCUCUGAGGAGGAAAGCGGGGGACCUGCGAGGGCCUCGCGCUGGAGGAGCGGCCGAUGUCCGAUUAGCUAGUUGGUGGGGUAAAGGCUUACCAAGGCGACGAUCGGUAGCUGGUCUGAGAGGAUGAUCAGCCACACUGGGACUGAGACACGGCCCAGACUCCUACGGGAGGCAGCAGUGGGGAAUUUUGGACAAUGGGGGCAACCCUGAUCCAGCCAUGCCGCGUGAGUGAAGAAGGCCUUCGGGUUGUAAAGCUCUUUCGGACGGAACGAAAUGGGCGGGACUAAUACUCCUGUCUGAUGACGGUACCGUAAGUAGAAGCACCGGCUAACUACGUG
rnacentral:rRNA from 1 species